rnacentral:tRNA from 1 species
GGCCCCGUCGUCUAGUGGUUCAGGAUAUCUGGUUCUCAUCCAGAAGAUCGCGGGUUCGAAUCCCGCCGGGGUCACCA